ACAGUUCUCAGCGCAUUCCAAACUCAAGUAAAGCGAGACUAACUUGCACUUCACGCGCUUAGGCCUUCCAUCUGCUUAUAUAAAGCAACCCAGAAAACAAAGUUUGAGCGUACUAGUAAGCUUCUUGCCCUCCAUGUAUCUCAGGUUUCUCCUCCAAGCUUUCUUUCUUUUUUUAUGUCUUCCAUGUUCUGUAAAGUACAGUAAUGCUGAACAAGCUGAACCACAACGCUCUGAUAGUCACAUUGUUAAAGUCACUUCUUUUUUGCCUCCGACUGUUUGCAACCGGAAUUCCACCAAAGUUCCAAGCGAAGCAUCUCUGGAGGUUGUAAGCAGAUAUGGUCCAUGCUCCUACAUUAAUAAGGGCAAAGUAAAAACUCCGAAUUACUUGGAAAUUCUGCACAAUGACCACGCCCGAGCCAAAUACAUUCAAUCCAGACUCUUCAAGCUCAAA